rnacentral:rRNA from 1 species
UACGAAGGGGCUAGCGUUGCUCGGAAUCACUGGGCGUAAAGCGCACGUAGGCGGGUUCUUAAGUCAGGGUGAAAUCCGUGGAGCUCAACCUCCAGAACUGCCUUUGAUACUGGGAAUCUCGAGUCCGGGAGAGGUGAGUGGAACUGCGAGUGUAGAGGUGAAAUCGUAGAUAGUUCGCAAGACACCAGUGGCGAAGGCGGCUC